rnacentral:rRNA from 12 species
AGGUGCGAAAGCGUGGGGAGCAAACAGGAUUAGAUGCCCUGGUAGUCCACGCCGUAAACGAUGAUAACUAGCUGCUAGGGCCCACAGGGCUUUGGUGGCGCAGCUAACGCAUUAAGUUAUCCGCCUGGGGAGUACGGUCGCAAGAUUAAAACUCAAAGGAAUUGACGGGGGCCUGCACAAGCGGUGGAGCAUGUGGUUUAAUUCGACGCAACGCGAAGAACCUUACCUGGCCUUGACAUGCAGAGAACUUUCCAGAGAUGGAUUGGUGCCUUCGGGAACUCUGACACAGGUGCUGCAUGGCCGUCGUCAGCUCGUGUCGUGAGAUGUUGGGUUAAGU